rnacentral:tRNA from 1 species
AGGGGAGUAGCUCAGCUGGCUAGAGCAUCGGUCUCCAAAACCGAGGGUCGCAGGUUCAAGUCCUGUCUCCCCUGCCA